AGUGAAUGGUUCUUCUUUGCAAAGUUGUACAUCCCACAGCAAUACAGAGGUCAUCUUCAUGCAUUUGUAAUUCAGGAUCAGAGACAGUGGGUAGUUCUUAAACCUGGAGAAGAAAAGGACUAUCAUGCUCUGGAUGCUUACAGUAAUGAUGAUGGGGAUUACUUUAUCUCAUUUCAUCAUGUAUUACACAGUUCAAGAUCAGCAAAUUGAUGGGGAGACACUUUUGGGCCUCACAGAGAGGAUGAUUGAGAGACUUUUCCCUGUGAUGAAGCGCCAGGUCAAAUUUAUGAAAGAGUUAGAAACAUUAAAAAGCUGUACAACUCACUUAAGUAACACCCUAAUGAGUGGCAAGAGCCACACCACUGCAGAGUGCUGCAGCAAAGCCUGGCCAAACAGAUACAACCUGCCAACCUUCCCUCCUGCAAUAGAAGAACCACUGAUCAGAAAGGACAUGGCAUUUAAAAAAAAAAAAGACAAAUGCCAUCUUAGGUCUGUAAUGAUCCAAGUACUUUUUGACAACCUUACAAAAUACACAUGGACACCUUGCUUGAAUGCCUGAGAAAUAAAUUUAAAAAGGAGAGACAACCACUGAUUUCUGUAAAUAUAAUCAAGGAAAUGAAAAACAUAUGGUAUGAAAGGAGGAAAAAGAAGUCUUGAAACUGGACCAAACACAGCAGCAAAGAAGACAAGACAACAGGUGACUUAAAUGCAAAGGCUUAAAUGCAAAUGACCAAAUGCAACAAUAAACU